UACAGAGGGUGCAAGCGUUGUUCGGAAUUACUGGGCGUAAAGCGCGUGUAGGCUGCGGUGUAAGUCAGGUGUGAAAGCCCUCAGCUUAACUGAGGAAGUGCACUUGAUACUGCAUCGCUUGAGUGUCGGAGGGGGUGGCGGAAUUCCCGGUGUAGAGGUGAAAUUCGUAGAUAUCGGGAGGAACACCUGUGGCGAAGGCGGCCACCUGGACGACAACUGCCGCUGAGACGCGAAAGCGUGGGUAGCAAACAGG
rnacentral:rRNA from 1 species